GGCGGGCUGGAACCUCUCGGGGUUCCAGCCUUGCUGAAUUAUUCACCCUUGUCUUUUGCGUACUUCUUGUUUCCUUGGUGGGUUCGCCCACCACUAGGACAAACAUAAACCUUUUGUAAUUGCAAUCAGCGUCAGUAACAAAUUAAUAAUUACAACUUUCAACAACGGAUCUCUUGGUUCUGGCAUCGAUGAAGAACGCAGCGAAAUGCGAUAAGUAGUGUGAAUUGCAGAAUUCAGUGAAUCAUCGAAUCUUUGAACGCACAUUGCGCCCUUUGGUAUUCCAAAGGGCAUGCCUGUUCGAGCGUCAUUUGUACCCUCAAGCUUUGCUUGGUGUUGGGCGUCUUGUCUCUAGCUUUGCUGGAGACUCGCCUUAAAGUAAUUGGCAGCCGGCCUACUGGUUUCGGAGCGCAGCACAAGUCGCACUCUCUAUCAGCAAAGGUCUAGCAUCCAUUAAGCCUUUUUUUCAACUUUUGACCUCGGAUCAGGUAGGGAUACCCGCUGAACUUAAGCAUAUCAAUAAGCGGAGGAA
rnacentral:rRNA from 1 species